AUUGAACGCUGGCGGCAGGCCUAACACAUGCAAGUCGAGCGAGCGGCGGACGGGUGAGUAAUGUAUGGGGAUCUGCCCGAUCGAGGGGGAUAACUACGGGAAACUGUAGCUAAUACCGCGUACCAUAGGAUGAGCCCAAGUGGGAGUAGGUAGUUGUGGAGGUAAAGGCUCACCAAGCCGACGAUCUCUAGCUGGUCUGAGAGGAUGACCAGCCACACUGGAACUGAGACACGGCCCAGAAUGCGCCGGGAGGCAGCAGUGGGGAAUAUUGCGGAAUGGGGGGAACCCUGACGCAGCCAUGCCGCGUGUAUGAAGAAGGCCUUAGGGUUGUAAAGUACUUUCAGCGGGGAGGCGUUACCCGCAGAAGAAGCACCGGCUAACUCCGUGCCAGCAGCCGCGGUAAUAC
rnacentral:rRNA from 1 species